rnacentral:rRNA from 1 species
CAGUAGCCGCGGGAAUACGAAGGGGGCUAGCGUUGUUCGGAAUUACUGGGCGUAAAGCGCACGUAGGCGGGUAUUUAAGUCAGGGGUGAAAUCCCAGAGCUCAACUCUGGAAUUGCCUUUGAUACUGGGUAUCUUGAGUAUGGAAGAGGUGAGUGGAAUUCUGAGUGUAGAGGUGAAAUUCGUAGAUAUUCGGAGGAACACCAGUGGCGAAGGCGGCUCACUGGUCCAUUACUGACGCUGAGGUGCGAAAGCGUGGGGAGCAAACAGGAUUAGAUACCCCCGUAGUCCCUGUCUCUUAUAC